UACGUAGGUGGCGAGCGUUGUCCGGAAUUACUGGGUGUAAAGGGCGUGUAGGCGGGGAUGUAAGUCAGAUGAGAAAUACCGGGGCUCAACUCCGGGGCUGCAUCUGAAACUAUGUCUCUUGAGUGCCGGAGAGGAAAGCGGAAUUUCCAGUGUAGCGGUGAAAUGUGUAGAUAUUGGGAGGAACACCAGUGGCGAAGGCGGCUUUCUGGACGGUAACCGACGCUGAGGCGCGAAAGCGUGGGGAGCAAACAGG
rnacentral:rRNA from 1 species